rnacentral:tRNA from 1 species
GACUUUGAAGUAUAGUUAUACGUUGAAUUGCAAAUUCAGAGAGGUAGAUUAAUAGUUCUAUCAAGGUCU